UCCUUGGCCACCGGCUCUCCUGCGCGCCCCUCCGGGGAGGGAGUGCUGCCCAAAGAGGAGAAAUGAAGAAAGCAGAAUUGCUCACUCGGGGCUUGAGGAAAGAAUGGAAUAGGCCCUUAAAGAAUUUUUGCAAGUGUUUCCUGGAUUUCUUCUUUCACAGAUGCAGCAGUUGGCGGCGGGAGUCACACAAGAUCCUCAGGCCCAGCCACGUAAGCUCCUUGCUGUGGAAGGUGACCAGAUGGAAACUGGAGGAGCUCAGGGGAAGAAGCCCUCCUCCGUCAGAUACAAAGGCAGCUGUAGGCCGUGGCAGAACGCACAUUUCCACGUUCCCAGGCAGCUGUCUUCCUUCUCCUGCUCCAUACAUCUCGCGCAGAGCAGGAGGACUCAGAGAGACACUGUUGCUUGUUAAUAAUUUCCAUAAUCUUCAGUAUCAGCUACUAAGCCAGCAGCCUACUCCACAUAAGCAAUAAUAAUUUAUAGUUGCAGUUAAUGGGCUGUUUUAUAGGAACCCACAAUUAUAAUUGGAUGUCAAGUGUUGUGAAUCUCAGCGGAUGGGAAGCGACAACUACUGGGGCCUGGUGUUUAAUUUUUUAAUGUGAUUAUUAAAUUUCCCAUCUCCUU